CCCUUAGAUGUUCUGGGCCGCACGCGCGCUACACUGUUUGAUUCAGCGAGUCUUAACCUUGACCGAAAGGUUUGGGUAAUCUUCUAAAGUCAAACGUGAUGGGGAUCGAUCAUUGCAAUUAUUGAUCGUGAACGAGGAAUUCCUAGUAAAUGCAAGUCAUCAGCUUGCGUUGAUUACGUCCCUGCCCUUUGUACACACCGCCCGUCGCUACUACCGAUUGAAUGGUUUAGUGAGAUCUCCGGAUUGGCUCUGUAGGUCCCGCAAGGGAUUUAUUAGUAGCCAAGAAGAUGCUCAAACUUGAUCAUUUAGAGGAAGUAAAAGUCGUAACA
rnacentral:rRNA from 1 species